UAAAAACCCUAAAAGUUUUUUUUCCCUUCAAGUCGUUUGCUUCUUUUUUCUUGUUUUACUCAGCGGCGGAGUCAGCCUUCGGGCUGGCUACCGUUCGCCUUUUUCUCCCUAUCACAAUUCUCUCUUUCUUUUUGUGAGCUCUCCUUCACCUCAAUUGUCUUUUCAGUUUGCAGAUUUAUUUUGUGAGCUCUCAUUCACCUCAAUUAUUCUGUAAGGUCCCCAUUCACCUCAUGUGUCUUUUUUUUCCCCAUUUUGCUAUAGAUCUAUUUUGCGAGCUCCCCAUUCACCCCAUGUGUCUGGACAUCUUCAUUGUCAACCCAAGUUGUGAUGGACAAAUUAUGGUGUCGUCGUUGAACCUUCACCGACUAUCAGUAGUUUCUCUUGAAAAGAACAUGUGUUUCUACCCGAAUGGAAACCGGAAAAAUGAUAGGAAGGAUCAGUCGUUGAUACGACAUCUUUACCCUUUGGUUGGGAAGUUAAUGCACAGUUCUCUCAUUCUUGGUGUUGGAUCAGCUCCGUGACAAAUACUUGACCAUUCAAGAUGGAACUAUAAGGCGUUAUCAUGAGUCGAAGGCCGAAUGGGGUGUUCUAUGGGAUAUCUCGUUGAUGACUGUUGCAUAUCCGGGUCAGAAGUUUUCGUCAUUGAACAAUAUUUACAUUUGGAAAAUCGAAAAGUUUUCGGUAUUGGAUUAGGCUUCACCAUACAAGGGAUUGUUUGGUAAACUAUUUAUAAAUCAUAAUCCAGAAUGAAUAAUCUUUGCACUUGCUGUC